rnacentral:rRNA from 1 species
AAUGCUUGGGAAUAUGCCUUUAGGUGGGGGACAACAGUUGGAAACGACUGCUAAUACCGCAUAAUGUCUACGGACCAAAGUGGGGACCUUCGGGCCUCACGCCAUAAGAUCAGCCCAAGUGGGAUUAGCUAGUUGGUAAGGUAAUGGCUUACCAAGGCGACGAUCCCUAGCUGGUUUGAGAGGAUGAUCAGCCACACUGGGACUGAGACACGGCCCAGACUCCUACGGGAGGCAGCAGUGGGGAAUAUUGCACAAUGGGCGCAAGCCUGAUGCAGCCAUGCCGCGUGUGUGAAGAAGGCCUUCGGGUUGUAAAGCACUUUCAGUAAGGAGGAAAGGUUAAGUGUUAAUAGCACUUAGCUGUGACGUUACUUACAGAAGAAGCACCGGCUAACUCCGUGCCAGCAGCCGCGGUAAUACGGAGGGUGCGAGCGUUAAUCGGAAUUACUGGGCGUAAAGCGUACGCAGGCGGUUUGUUAAGCGAGAUGUGAAAGCCCCGGGCUCAACCUGGGAACUGCAUUUCGAACUGGCAAACUAGAGUGUGAUAGAGGGUGGUAGAAUUUCAGGUGUAGCGGUGAAAUGCGUAGAGAUCUGAAGGAAUACCGAUGGCGAAGGCAGCCACCUGGGUCAACACUGACGCUCAUGUAC